rnacentral:rRNA from 1 species
GACCUGCAUCCGAUACGGGCUAGCUUGAGUUUGGUAGGGGAGACUGGAAUUCCUGGUGUAGCGGUGGAAUGCGCAGAUAUCAGGAGGAACACCAAUGGCGAAGGCAGGUCUCUGGGCCAAUACUGACACUGAGGAGCGAAAGUGUGGGGAGCGAACAGGAUUAGAUACCCUGGUAGUCCACACAGUAAACGAUGGGCACUAGUUGUGGGAACCUUCCACGGUUUCUGCGACGCAGCUAACGCAUUAAGUGCCCCGCCUGGGGAGUACGAUCGCAAGAUUAAAACUCAAAGGAAUUGACGGGGCCCCGCACAAGCAGCGGAGCAUGCGGCUUAAUUCGACGCAACGCGAAGAACCUUACCAAGGCUUGACAUAUACAGGAAUAUGGCAGAGAUGUCAUAGCCGCAAGGUCUGUAUACAGGUGGUGCAUGGUUGUCGUCAGCUCGUGUCGUGAGAUGUUGGGUUAAGUCCCGCAACGAGCGCAACCCUCGUUCUGUGUUGCCAGCAUUUAGUUGGGGACUCACAGGAGACUGCCGGGGUCAACUCGGAGGAAGGUGGGGAUGACGUCAAAUCAUCAUGCCCCUUAUGUCUUGGGCUGCACGCAUGCUACAAUGGCUGGUACAAAGGGCUGCAAUACUGCAAA